GUGUAGUGACCACCAAAGCCAAAUUGCCGUGCCCCUAUUUCAUUAUGUGUUUAAGUUUAACCCUGUUGAGCCUUGUUAAGUGAUAGGAGCAUAUUUAUGCGACUUAGUUAGCUUGUUCUUGUGCAUUUAUAUUGUUAUUUCUUAGUCAAUUAUGUAUUUUAAGCUAUUUUCGUGUAUUUGGAGCAUUUUUGGGCCAAGAUUGGAUAGUGCAAACAUGGAGACAUGAGGAUGGACAUUUUUGAUGAUUUGAAGGUAGAAAUCAGCAUAUGUGUGUGCAAGUGUGUUGACCUACAACUCCAAACAUCCAUCCACUACACCCAUUACAUCCACUCAUUACCAAACAUCCAUCCACUACACCCAUUACAACCACUCAUUACCAAACAUCCACCCACUACACCCAUUACGUCCACUCAUUACCAAACAUCCACCCACUACACCCA
rnacentral:lncRNA from 1 species